ACGUGGGGUCUGGUCGGGGAGCCUUGACAGUGAACGUCACUUGAUAUGUGUGAAUUAUUCCUUUAAUAGAUCAAUGUAGAUAUAGUACAGGCAUCACCAAAAUGCCUAGUGCUCACCUCACCUUACGUGAGGAGGACGUAGUAAGACUUACGCUAGAGUUUCUGCACAACCGUUUCCUGCACAUCUCACAGCUAAAUGUAGAGAGGGAGACGGGCAUCAUCAAUGGAAACCACUCAGAUGACGCACUCUUUCUCAGGCAGCUUAUUCUUGAUGGGCAGUGGGAUGAUGUCCUCGAGUUCGUACAGCCUUUGGAGGCUAUAGAUGCAUUUGACACAAAGAAGUUUCACUUCAUUGUAUUAAAGUACAAGUACUAUGAAUUGUUGUGUAUUAAGGCUGAAGCACCGGCCAACCCAAGUAAAGAGGGUGCUGUGGAUGAACUAGUCAAGGUAUUGAAUGAGUUGGAAAAAUAUGCCCCUAACAAAGAAGCGUACUCCCAGCUGUGUCUCUACCUAACACUUCCUCGACUCCACGAACAUGCUGAUUUGCGAGACUGGAACCCAAGUAGCGCUCGGGUGCAAUGCUGGACACAGGUCUUCCCUUUGGUUGAGAAGUUUUUGCCGGCCGAGCAUCGUGGAGGACUUGCCGGGGCAAUGGAGGGUGUCGGUAUGGCGAGAAAUGAUCGUCUGGUUCAGUUAAUCAUCAAGGGCCUCCUGUAUGAGUCAUGUGUUGAUUUUUGCCAAAAUCAGGCCACUGGAGAAGGCAGUGGUUCUGGCUCGCUCAAAUUUCCUUCACUCCUCGCUUCCACGACGUUCAGUGACUCUGAUCUCUCUUUGCUCUCUUGGCUCCAGAGUAUUCCCCCUGAGACUUUUGCUUGUCCAUUUGAACAAAAAACCCUUAAUGUUGAUGUUGAACGUCUAGAAAAACCUCCUCUAGAGGCCUCAUGGACAGAGCAUCUUCUUGUAACUCCUUUUAAACCCAGAACUUUUCCUCACUCAGCCAUGCCCUACAGCAGACCCAGAGCUACAGAUAUAAUGUCACGUUCCCUAAACCCUAACCUCGAUGGACUCCCAUUUGGUCUUGGCUCAAAUAGAAACUCGAUGGCUCUCUCAACUGGUGAUAUCAACAUGAUGUCAAAAAGUAUUGCAAGUUUCCAUCUCACUGGAAAGAAGACUAUGAACACUUCAGUUGACAGACUAUUUGACACAGAAAAUGUAUUUACUAGUAGUUCAUAUGGAGAUCUUCCCACCAUAAUUGAGAAGGUUGGCCUACCCAAACCUCCACCAAGAAGAGCUAGAUCACGUAGUCCCGACAAACGGCAAUCCACAGACUCCCUAAAUAAACCGGCACUGUCUGAUAAAAUUGAAAAGGAAAUCCGUGAAGAGAAGCCAGGGUCACCUCCUGCUCUGCCCCCGAAAUCAUCCCCGACCCCGCCUCAGCUACCGCUUCCAAACCACUCCCCUCCGUCUAACUUACCACCACCGUACCAUCUUCAACAGCUUCCGCCACAGCACCACCCUCACCCUAAACAAAAUGUCCCUUUGCCGCCUGUCCCUGAUGGCAAAGCUUCUUUGGCACACCCUCAACAGAACCAGCACCCACAACAGCCACCACCAUCUCAGUUUGACAACAACUGCAAUUCCAAUAACGACAGAGAGACUGGGGAACUGUACAGCAUAUAUCAGCGGAGACAACAGAUGAUGGGUCAACAACAACAACAACAACAACAGCAGCAGCAACAACAACAACAACAACAACAGCAACAUCACAUGUAUGACCACUAUGGCAACAACAACAACCAAAUGAUGAUGAACAUGGGCCCGAUGCAUCCUGCCAGUAUGAACAUAAACAGAAGUGUGAGAUGCAAAAAAAUGCAUAGGGGCUACUACGGCUGGAUGAUGCCAGGAGUGGUUCCCCCGUCACUAGGAGCUCCCAACGAUACCAUCAACCCGUCAGCACAACCACCGCCGUACCUCCAGCCCUACGACUCUGUAAAGGUAAGGCUCCAACUCCUGGUGGACGAGAGGGUCAGGCGGCGACCUAUGAGGACUGGUAACAAGGAUGGAGAAGCCAAGCCAAGGUUCCUGGCAGUCACGGCACUGGAAGAUGUCCAAGCCGUGCGUUGUGCCGAGUUCCACCCAUCCGGCCGUUUCUAUGCUGUUGGUUCUAACUCCAAAACUCUCCGUAUCUGCAGUUACCCCAAGUUAUCCGACCUCAGAGUGGAUCACGUUACCUAUCAGCCAACAGUGUUGUUCAAGCGCACUAAGCAUCACAAAGGCUCUAUCUACUGCCUGGCCUGGAGUCCCCUCGGUGACCUGGUGGCCACCGGUUCCAACGACAAAACCGUUAAGCUCAUGAGAUUCAACCCCGACUCGUGCAAUAUGGAUGGCCAAGAGGUUGAACUUACAAUGCAUGAUGGAACUGUGCGGGACAUGUGCUUCAUUGAAGACACAAGCAACAAGUCAUCUCUACUCAUUUCUGGUGGUGCUGGAGACUGCAAGAUAUAUGUUACAGACUGUGCUACUGGUACCCCCUUCCAAGCUCUCUCAGGACAUACAGGUCACAUCCUUGCUCUACACACAUGGGGAGGAGCCAUGUUUGUGUCUGGCUCACAGGAUAGAACAGUGCGUUUCUGGGACCUGCGAACUAGGGGCUGCGUUAAUGUUAUCACACCAGCAGCUACACCUACUAAACCAGGUGCUCCUGUGGCUUCUGUGUGUGUGGAUCCAAGUGGUAGACUCCUGGUAACUGGUCAUGAGGAUUCGGUCUGCUCUCUAUAUGAUGUUCGUGGGUCCCGCUGUAUCCAGGCAUUCCGGCCACACUCCUCAGAUGUACGCUCUAUCAGAUUCUCACCCUCUGCGUAUUAUCUACUCACUGCAGGAUAUGACAAUAAGCUCGUCCUUACUGAUCUUCAAGGUGACCUGACACUGCCAUUACCCAGUGUCGUCGUGGCAGAACACCAAGAUAAGGUCAUCUCUGGUCGAUGGCACCCCUCAGAUUUCUCCUUCAUCUCAACUUCUGCAGAUAAGAUGUGUACACUGUGGGCUUUGCCUCCUGUAUAACUUGGGUCUCAAGCUUGAAUAUCUCAGUCUGAUCUGUACUCGUCCCUGACAAGCCGGCGGAGAGGGAGACGAUCAUGGCUGCUGUAGCGUGGUGCUGUAGCGUACUCCACUACAGUGCAAGUGUGGUACAGUUGGUCUG
rnacentral:misc_RNA from 1 species